rnacentral:tRNA from 1 species
GGGUCUGUAGUUCAAAGUUGUCGGUAGAACGCUCGGUUGUCAAUUGAGAACUGAAGGUUCGAUCCCUUCCAGGCCCA